GAUGGUCAUCACCUUGCAGUUGGGUUGUUUCUCUUGUCGUCUUUUUCUGACUUCUUCUUUUCUUUUUCGCCGAAGCAGCCUUGUGGAAGUUGCUACUAGUGGAGAUAGCCAACCGGGUUCCAGCAGCUGUUCGAUCUGUGGAUCAUCAUCGUUCACAUCAGUUGCCAAUGAUUGUUUGUUCAUGUGCCACAACUAUUUAUUCUGGCUGAUUGUAUAUAUAUACAUUCAGAUGGUGGUAGAAUUGGCAGAUAAACAUUGACCAUCUAGGCAUCUAUCUAUAUAGUAGCAUAAAGUACCAAUGGAGCCUGCAAGACUGCAUCCCGAGGAUCUAUACAGAAUUCAGUUCCAGUCUGCACGAGGUGGUGAAAUAUGAGCAGGAUGGGACAGAGAAGAGAAGAUGCAAAGGUAAAGU